GUAGUAUAUAAUAUACAUCAUAUAUCAAAUCACAUCACAAUCACAGUACAAAUGACUGGUACUGCAUUUGACUGAUACUGCAUUUCCAUCACCUUAUCCCUAAUCUCCUCUAAACUUCCUUUCAUUGUGGCAUUGUGUGAUUCUGGGUGAGGCAGUUUAGCCAGCUCUACUUUGCUAAACAGUCAAUCUGGUGUGCAUUCUGGUACAGCAUAUCCAGUUACCAGUAAGUACUUUUCUACACGGCCAGUUGUAGUGUUAUAAAACAAAAAGAAAAAGAAAAAGAAAAGAUUCUGAUUCAGAGAAUACUUAGAAGUAUCUGUAUGGCGUCUUUUGCCUGGUCAAUGCACAAAGUUGCAAUUUGACUGGGAGAGGACAACAGCAAUAAGAUGUUAGUAAUCACUGGCUUGAAGAGGGGCCAAGUGAAAAUUAUACUGUCGUUUUAAAAUAAGAUUUGCUCUGGUUAUGCAAUGUGAAAGCUCAAUGUGUGGAGAACAGUGUAAUGGACACUUUUAAGAUACCAAUACCACAGCCACAAUUUGUACAGCAGGAAAGGUUUUUCAAUUUUUAACAAGAGAGCAAAAAAGAGCAAAAAAAUGUUUUCUGUACAGGAAACAUUUUGUUCUCUCAGUUUUUGGACGAUGACAUUUUCUAAAAAAAUAUUUUGCCUUUUUUAUCAAAACAGUGGAUUUGAAUCCAAACGAUCAAAGAUGAACAAAAAGUGCAGAAUUUCUGCUUCAAAACAUUAGCAUUGACUGUUUAGAAAUUUGUAUACAUCAUUACUCACUAAAAACCUGAAAAAACAAACACAAUUUUUAAUAUAAGGAUACCAUUUAAUAUUCGGAGAAGCAAUUCUUUGUAAUGAAUGACUAGCUGAAGUCUAUAUGCCAAGGACAUCACAAAAUGCUGUUUCCUCCCUUGAGAUGUUCUUCUAGGCCUUCACUGAAGCCUUUAGUUUUCUGGGAAAAUCUACUUUGGCUUCCCUGUUCUUGAGUAUAAGCAGUGAUUUACAAUUUGUGUAAAGCCUUUUUGCAUUUAUAAAAGUAUUGUUUAUUGCAGACUCUGACAAUAUAAACAAGGAAUCUGAAUCUGUGUUAUUUCUGUCAUUACCUUAUAUAUGGUAUAGUCUGAUGAUGUCUAUGGCAGGAGGGGGAAAGCAGGGUAGAGGUACAAUGAAAUGAUAGAGUGCAAAUAGAAAUACACAAUAUAUCACCAACUGCUUCUGUAAGACUAAAACAAACAAAGAUACAGCACGUGGAACACAUAAAUUAGAAAAUACACAGAUACAUACAUCAAGAAUCUUGUUGUAGUGUGAGUGUGAGAGAAAGAGGGAGGGAGAGAGUGUGUGAGUUUGUGUUAGAAUGCCUGUCUUUGUUACAAAUGUACUUGAUAACAAGGGUGGGAAGCCUCAAUAAUGCCCCAGAGAAGCCUGAAGCAGACAUACAUGGAACCAGGACAACCGCGCCAUCUGUAGCCUCCAACAGUACUGAAGACUCAAGGCUACACAUCUUGGCGACAACCGCACACCCGUUCCAGCAGGAGAAGAAGGGAGGCCCCAGAUGGGCUUGACACGGCCAAAGGGCGAGAGUCCCAGAGGGUCAGGGGCAACGGGCAGUCGACCCUGCUAGAGCUUGGGCCACCCUGGUACAAGUCGAGAACAGGGUCCCAGGCGCCCAAGGACCACCCAGCACCUAGCAGCGGUGGAAGGGUGGGACUCAUGCCAGGUUCUCCCCUUCGAUCUACACACACCUUGGAGUGAUCACACACCUGUUCCUGAUAUCCUUAUUUGGCUGCCACUACUUAAAUCUGUUCGUGAGAGUGGUGAGUGGAUCUGGUUUUGAGAGAGAGAUUCUGUGGAGAGACUGGAUCCUUGGAGAAACCUGCCCUGUGGACCAUCUUUGACAUUGUUCUUGUAUUUUGGAUUGUGCUUUACCUUCACUUUGUAAAUAAACAUUCUCCAAUUGAGUCCUGCCCACCUAGUGGUUCCUUGAUAGAGCAAAUCAGCCAACAAAACAUGCUAACAUGCUGAGUCCAGCUAACAUGGACUCAGACCGAGUUUGUGGGAUCCUCCCAAUUCACAAAGCUUAGCUCGGAAAACAUGAAAAUGCUCUGGAGAGCAGGGCACAAUCGUUCAACAGCUUGCCAAAUUAAAAGGUAUGAUGAAACCUGCUCCACACAGCACCACACAGGUAUUUUCCCCUUGACUACUACUGCCUUUGGAGCUUCUGUAGAGGUCCCUUUUUCUGGUGAGCUUGAAAAUAGUGGUGGAUAUCUCACACAGUGUCUUUUAGUAUUUUGGGAACACAGUAGAACUUUUUCCUCAGGCUGUGUAAAUGGCCUCCAUGGUUGAGCUAUUGCCUGCAAGUGCUUUGAGAGCUCAGGCAGAGUAGAAAAGCGCUAUAUAAGAACCAGUUUAUUUGCCAUUUACAAGCCCUGAGACGGGCUCAAGCUGUCCUCAAGUCUAAGAACUCUUCUUUUGAGCACUUCAUCGCAGAGUAUAAAAUGUUUGAUAAGGGACUGAACCCUGAUCAACCUCACACAUGGUAAGAGGAGUGUGGUAAAAGGCAAAAUAGCUGCAAAGGAUCUUCCUCACUCACUUGAUGCCUUACUUUCUGUGUGAAUGUAUCAAAAUAGAUGACCACAUAUGGGAGCAUAGGAAAAGAAAGGGCAACUGAAGGGGUUGCCCUGCAAGAGCUUGGCCAUAGAAGAAAUGAGUCAGAGGAAUGUGACAAGCCGCUCAUGCAGCACCCCUGUUUUACCCUCUGUCCGAAAGAAACAGCUGACUGCUGGUGAGUGUUUUUACUAUGGAAAGAGUGGACAUUUCAUCGAUGCCUGAUCUGUGCCACCAAAAAAGCAGAGCCUGUCAGUAACUGUAGGGAUAUUGUUGGGUAAAAUAAACAAAACUAACUGUCAACUCUCAGACCCAUUCACUCGAAGCAUUAGUUGACUCAGAUGACAAACAGAUUUUUAUUGAUCAAACUCCUGCUAAUGAUUCAGUCAUUCCCCUGAUCACACUUGAUUACAAAUUUCUGCAAUAAAUGGCACAUGGCUCCCACAAAUAACCCAUAAAACUCAACCUGUCUCCCUCUCUCUCCCUCUCUCUCUCUGUCUGGCAAUCACCCAACACUGAGGCAGCCAACACUGCCCUGGUUCUCAGACACCCUUGGCUCAGCACGUUCCUUGGGCUUCAUUGUUAAAAAAUGUCAGUUAAAAGUAGAUCCCAUGAAGGUGCAAGCAGUGAUUGAGUGGCAAGUUCUAUCAAACAGGAAAUGGCUUGGUUUUGCAAACUUUUAGGGCUGUUUCAUUUUUGAUUUCAGUAAAGUUAUAUUACCAUUGAGUCAGGUGGGCUCUAUGUUUUUUUUUACCAGAUUCAACCUUAUCUUAAAUCUACAGACCCAGUUCUAGUCAUGUCAAGCCUGAAGUCCUGUCCCGGCAAUUCGACACCUCUGACAACUCUUGACAAUGUUGCCAUCCUUCUGUAUCACUGGUUUGUUCACUCGGCAGACUAAUCUGAGCUAACACAAAUGCAAAAUUUACAUGUCCGCACCAUCUCUUUUCUGCAGCAUCUAUUCGGAAGCCAUUUCUUGCUAAAGAUGUCCAAGAAUAUAUUUCAGCCUCUGUGUGUGCAGAAAUAAAUUCUCCAGCUUUCUUCCUGCUGGGCUGUUAAGACCCUUUCUCAUGCAUGAUUGCCCGUGGUCAUACAUUAUCCUGGACUUUGUUACCGGCGUUCCUCCAUUUUCAACAACCCUAAUACUGUUGUACUUACAUAACUGAUUGCUUUUUGCAGGCUGCUCAAUUUAUUGCUCUUCCAAAUAUUCCUUCUACUUUCAAGAGAUGCCCACCUGCUCACUGAUCAUGUGCUCUGGCUAUACUACAUCCCCUUAGACAUAAUCUUUGACUGUUGGCCCUGAUUCACCUCGCAGGUAUAGAAACAACUCUGUUCACCAAUCACAACCAGGUCAGUCUUUCAUCCUCAGGGUAAGUGUCAAACUGAGUGAGCAAAUCAGGAGCUGGAAGCCACCCUUUGCUUUGUCACGUCUAACCAGUGUAUGUAGAGCUCUCAGUAGGAUUGGUAAAAUAUGCUCACAACUCAGUGGCCUUGUCAACUGCUGGACUGUCCCUAUUUGAAUCAUCACUUGGCUAUUAUUAAAUUCCGGUUCUUUGGAUGCUUUACGGCCAAAAAAGGACACAGCUCAGAAGUGGUCUUAUUACUUUACAAAUGAUCUUUAUUUUUACAUAUUCCGGAAUAUGGAAACCUGAACACACGAACACACAAGCUCAGGUCUGAAGCACAAACAGGAAGCCUAGUCAUUUAUAUAGACGUCACCCACACUUUAAGUUUCGAUCAAACAGCCUAGUGGGUUUUACUUUCACUUCAUUCUAGCUGCAAAAGCAUGCUCUGCAAAACCAUGCAGUUUCCUCUCAGCACUUUUUAGCAUAUAAUGCAAUAUAAUCAGCAUAUAAGCAUUUAAGAUUAUAAAUUUAAACCUCAACACUAUCAACUACUAUUUCACUAUUCCCCACUACAAAAUGUGAGCUCUCUUUCCCUUCCAUGCAGCACCACCUUCACCACAAUGUUUCAUUGCAUACUGAGUCAAAGAAAUGAUCUCUCAACUUCGUUGGAUCUUUUGAAAUUAAAUCCAUGACCAACCCAGUGUCUGCCCACCUGAAAUUACUUUGUAACAUGAGGAUUCAUAACUUUUUCCAUGUCUCUCAGUAAAAACCACUCUGUUAUGUCCUUUCUCUGGGCCCCGCCACCAGCCCAAGUCAAUGACAGCCAACCAGCCUUCUCUGUAACAUAGAUGCCAGACACUGUGGGAGAGGCUUCCAAUAUGUAGUUUACUGGGAAGGUUAUAGCCCAAAAAACACUCCUGGGUGUUGCAGAUGGUGAGGGAAUUCCACCGCAGGCAUCCCGACAAGGUCAGUGUGUCGCCAUGAGACCCUGUGGAAUCAGGACUUUACUAUAUUAUUAUUGUCUUUGAAUUAUUGGUUUAUCUUCACCUUGUAAAUAAACUCACUAAACCUUUCAAUUGAAUCCCUCCUGCCUAGUUGACCCUCAACAAUACACAAACAUAGAAGCAGGUUAAGAUGUACUUGAUGUUAACACAGAAAUACCACCAAAGAAUGAACCAGUUAAAAUUGGAUUUACCAAGUGUUAUUUCUUCAGUAUGAAAGCAGGUUAGAAGUAUAAAAAGAAACAAACAAUGCAGCAACAAACUACAAUAUGGGAUCAUCUGUGGUUUAUUAUAAAAUUAGUAUAAUAAAACUUUAACUUUCAGUUAUUUUUGUAUCAAAGAAAACUGUCAUUAUACAAGCAGCUCAAAGGAUUUGGGGUUUUGUUUUUUCGGUGUAUUUUCCACACUUGUACUUCCAUACCUUUUUUGUUUUCUGCAGGCAGAGUCAUGGCUGAAGCUGUCAUCUCAGCCUGCCCUUGGAUGUGACCGCACUGAUGACUUGUGCACUUCUGCUGAAUCUGCUUAUUAUUCAGAGUACUUGACUGGGCAGAUGGCAGAAUUCCAUCAGAUCAUUUAACCUCCUUCGGCACAAUGUGGAUCCCGAUUAAGUUACCACUUCACAGCUUUCCUUAACUCCUUGGUUCAGUUUGUUCAACAGUUCCUCAUUCCCUGAAAUCAAGCUCAUCUGCUGUUCUGACUUACCUGUUUGUCCAAAGCUCAGUAGCCGUCAUCAACCUCCCUUGCCUUCCUGCCCGCUCUCUGGCACCAAAUACAUUACCAUUCAUCCAUUCUCUUCCGCUUCUCCUUGUCAGGGUCGCGGGGAGGCUCUAGUCUAUCCCAGCUACCACAGGGUGAGAGGCAGAGUAAUCCACCAGCCAACCAGACUCUCCCGUUGACUCAAACCUCAACCUCCCCGAGGAUAACUCCAUUCCUUUAUCCUCUGACAACACUUUCAUUCCAACAUUGACCUGGAGUAAUCUUGCCUCUUUUCUCUCACAGAUAGCACUCCCAUACUGCCCACCAGUUCCCCAAGGCCAUUAACUUAGUAUUCAAUAAAGCUUUCAAACCGCUGUCAGUGUCCUGAAUCUGUCUGUGUCCAAUCUCUGAUUAAAGAUGGCAGACAGUGUUGUUGACUGGGGACUACUAAUGCUUAUCAAUAAUAGCAGAAGGAAACAUUUUAAAAG